GACGAACGCUGGCGGCGUGCCUAACACAUGCAAGUCGAACGGAACUGUUUUGAAAGAUUUCUUCGGAAUGAAUUUGAUUUAGUUUAGUGGCGGACGGGUGAGUAACGCGUGAGUAACCUGCCUUCAAGAGGGGAAUAACAUUCUGAAAAGAAUGCUAAUACCGCAUGACAUAUCGGAACCACAUGGUUUUGAUAUCAAAGAUUUUAUCGCUUGAAGAUGGACUCGCGUCCGAUUAGUUAGUUGGUGAGGUAACGGCUCACCAAGACCGCGAUCGGUAGCCGGACUGAGAGGUUGAACGGCCACAUUGGGACUGAGACACGGCCCAGACUCCUACGGGAGGCAGCAGUGGGGGAUAUUGCGCAAUGGGGGCAACCCUGACGCAGCAACGCCGCGUGAAGGAUGAAGGUUUUCGGAUUGGAAACUUCUUUUAUUAAGGACGAAAAAUGACGGUACUUAAUGAAUAAGCUCCGGCUAACUACGUG
rnacentral:rRNA from 1 species